rnacentral:lncRNA from 1 species
CCCACUGCUACUGCUACUGCAACUCCCACGCUCUAGCCGAUCCGCUCUAUUGCCCCCUCGAUCGAGUCGCACAGGGAAUGCUGCGUCCGUCCCGCUGGCAAAGGCAGAUCUGUUACACCUAAUCUCUGAUCAGGAAAGGGGAGUGAGAACCGAAACUCUACCAACGAAGCGGAAGGAGAUCAUCGAAUCGAUUGACGCACUGGAGGAUUAUGGGAAAGGAAGUGUGACGACGGGAGCGGAGUUGUCUGGGACGUGGAGAAUGCUUU